CCUACGGGUGGCAGCAGUGAGGAAUAUUGGUCAAUGGCCGAGAGGCUGAACCAGCCAAGUCGCGUGAGGGAAGACGGCCCUACGGGUUGUAAACCUCUUUUGUCGGGGAGCAAAGCGAACCACGUGUGGUUCAUUGAGAGUACCCGAAGAAAAAGCAUCGGCUAACUCCGUGCCAGCAGCCGCGGUAAUACGGAGGAUGCGAGCGUUAUCCGGAUUUAUUGGGUUUAGAGGGAGCGUAGAUGGGUUGUUAAGUCAGCGGUGAAAUGCCCCCGCUCAACGGGGUGAAGUGCCAUUGAUACUGCCUUGCUGGAAUGCGGAUGCCGUGGGAGGAAUGUGUGGUGUAGCGGUGAAAUGCAUAGAUAUCACACAGAACACCGAUUGCGAAGGCAUCUCACGAAUCCGCGAUUGACGCUGAUGCACGAAAGCGUGGGUAUCAAACAGGAUUAGAUACCCCUGUAGUC
rnacentral:rRNA from 1 species